ensembl:snRNA U6 U6 spliceosomal RNA
GUGCUUGCUUUGGUGGCACAUACACUGAAAUUAGAACAAUACACAGAUGAGCAUGGCCCUGCACAAGGUGACCCAUGAACUUGUGAAGACUUCCAUUGUUGU